rnacentral:rRNA from 1 species
CUUUGAUCCGAAGAUUUCCGAAUGAGGAAACUCACUUAGAGUAAUGUCUAAGUAUCAUUAAGUGAAUACAUAGCUUAAUGAGGGGAACUCAGGGAACUGAAACAUCUAAGUACCUGAAGGAAGAGAAAGAAAUUCGAUUCCGUAAGUAGCGGCGAGCGAACGCGGAUUAGCCCAAACCAAUAAAGUUUUCUUUAUUGGGGUUGUGGACAUAUCAUAACGAAGAGGUAUCGUAAUUGAAGAGGUUUGGAAAGACCCACCACAGAAGGUAAUAGU